rnacentral:rRNA from 1 species
UACGAGGGGUGCAAGCGUUAUUCGGAUUUAUUGGGCGUAAAGGGUGCGUAGGUGGUAUGUUAAGUCUGUUGUUAAACUUUCCGGCCUAACCGGAAGCAAGCAGUGGAAACUGGCGUACUUGAGGAUGGAAGAGGGAAGUGGAAUUCUCGGAGUAGCGGUAAAAUGCGUGGAUCUCGAGAGGAACACCGAUGGCGAAGGCAGCUUCCUGGUCCAUAUCUGACACUGAGGCACGAAAGCGUGGGGAGCAAACAGG